UGCCAGCCGCCGCGGUAAUACGGAGGGUGCAAGCGUUAAUCGGAAUUACUGGGCGUAAAGCGCACGUAGGCGGAUUGGAAAGUAUGGGGUGAAAUCCCAGGGCUCAACCCUGGAACUGCCUCAUAAACUAACAGUCUAGAGUUCGAGAGAGGUGAGUGGAAUUCCAAGUGUAGAGGUGAAAUUCGUAGAUAUUUGGAGGAACACCAGUGGCGAAGGCGGCUCACUGGCUCGAUACUGACGCUGAGGUGCGAAGGUGUGGGGAGCAAACAGGAUUAGAUA
rnacentral:rRNA from 1 species